ACUUUAAUUGAAGAGUUUGAUCAUGGCUCAGAUUGAACGCUGGCGGCAGGCCUAACACAUGCAAGUCGAGCGGUAACAUUUCAAAAGCUUGCUUUUGAAGAUGACGAGCGGCGGACGGGUGAGUAAUGCCUGGGAAUUUGCCC
rnacentral:rRNA from 1 species